GAAGAUUCUAGCCUUCCUU
rnacentral:snRNA from 1 species